CCCUUAGAUGUCCUGGCCGCACGCGUGCUACACUGACGCAUACAGCGAGCACUUUCCAGUUCCGAGAGGCUACUGGUAAUCAUCAAUAUGCGUCGUGAUGGGGAUAGAUCUUUGGAAUUCUGGAUCUUGAACGAGGAAUGCCUAGUAAUCGCAGGUCAUUAGCCUGCGAUGAUUAAGUCCCUGCCCUUUGUACACACCGCCCGUCGCUACUACCGAUUUCGAGUGGUCAGGUGAAUCUUUCGGACUGUGGGCGCCCUUGAGGUGUUCGCGGAAAGUCAGGUAAAUCUUAUCACUUAGAGGAAGUAAAAGUCGUAACA
rnacentral:rRNA from 1 species